rnacentral:lncRNA from 10 species
CACUGCAACUGCAAUUUUGACAGUCCAGUCUUGAUAUUGGUCCUCAGUUUAUCUGCUCUGCCACUUUAGGAGAUAAGGGAUUGGUUCAAAGUUACCACCAAGGCUUUCUCGUUUUUGAUUUAUAUUCUGAGUUGGAAUUUCACAGCCUUUAGUUCCUCUUUUUCGUGUGUAAACUACGUAGGACAUCUAGUAAAAGGUAAUGUAUAUACAAUAUUAAUGAUCACUAUUGUUUUUCAACACCUAAACUACCCACAAAAUUUGUGGUUGAUUAUGUUCCCUGUUACAGGCUGUUGCGGGACCAGCCACUGCCAGGGUCACUUCUGUUCUUGUGUUCAGCUCCAGUCACCCGCACCAGUGACCUCUUCUCUGAAGGUCUGAGAUUUCUAAAAAUUAAACCUGAAUCUCCCUGUGAGUGGCUUAAUUACAACACAAAUUGAAUUUCCAACCCCACGAGGUGUUUUCUGUUAAAAUGAUUGGGAAGGAAUGGGAUCCUGAAAAUUGGAAUGAGGGCAUAUUGACAGAUCCCAAUGAAGCUGGGGACACUGAACCCUUGAAUUUGGACAGUUUUCUUGCUGGGAGAAGCAGCCAUCCACCCCUGUCUAAGGAGGUUAUCUGUUCUUCCUGAAGAAUCUAUAAUUGCCUUGCAAGGUACUGCUGAUUCUUCUUAGGACCUAUCUCCACCCACCCCUCUCUGCAUCUAGACCUACAAUUAGACUUAAGUCUCAGCAGAGCCCAAACGUAAGUUACAGGAUAUCAAAGGAGGAGAGUGAACAUCAUCCAAGGAUUUGGAGUCCUCUUCUGGGAAAAAGGUGAGAAUGCAGCAAGAAGACAUCUUCCAUGAACCAGGAAGUGAGCCUCACCAGACACAAAAUCCACUGUUGCCUUGAUCUUGGACUUCCUCUCCUCCAGAACUGUGAGAAAUAAAUUUCUGUUGUUUAUAAGCUACUUGGUGUAUGACAUUUUGUUAUAGCAGCCUGAAAUCACUGACUGUAACUACCUGUGUCUCUGUUAAUCUAAAUGAGUUUUCCUACUGAUAUAUCCAACUCUAAUCCAUUACCACAUGGAUCAUUCUAGCCU